rnacentral:rRNA from 1 species
GACGUAGGGCGCGAGCGUUGUCCGGAUUUAUUGGGCGUAAAGAGCUCGUAGGCGGCUUGUUGCGUCGACCGUGAAAACCCGGGGCUCAACUUCGGGCUUGCGGUCGAUACGGGCGGGCUAGAGUUCGGUAGGGGAGACUGGAAUUCCUGGUGUAGCGGUGAAAUGCGCAGAUAUCAGGAGGAACACCGGUGGCGAAGGCGGGUCUCUGGGCCGUUACUGACGCUGAGGAGCGAAAGCGUGGGGAGCAAACAGG